UCACCGUUCACCGUUCAUCGUUCACCGUUCACCGUUCGAAACUCGCAAUCAUCUUCUCUGUUCAAAAACGCGUGAACACAUUCACCUCUGUUCGAAAACGUGUGAACACAUUAACCGACAAACCUCCAUUUGUCUCCAAAUCCUUUGUAAAAGGUAAUAAUUUCUCUUUUUUCCUUUGUGAUUAGAACUUGUAAUCUGUAAUUUAAAAUUGGAAUGUGUUUAUUGCCUUUUUUUUCCUUUGUGAUUAAAACUUAGAAUCUGUAAUUUCAAAUUGGAAUGAACAUAUUGUUCAGAAAUAGGGCUUGUUAUUUGUGAAUUUCUCACAUUAAUUUACUAGGUUGUGGCAUUGGAAAUUAAUUAGUUUAUGCUUAAAGUAUUUGAAAGAAAUUUGUAGUACGAGUUUUAGGGAUCAUUUGCUGAAAAAUCAUCACUUAUCUGAUUUUCUGAGUAAGAGAAGACUUGUAGAAAAGUUAAAUGUAGACUUGUAGACUUGUAGGAAGUCCCAAUGGAAGAGAUGAAGAAGAACAUAGUAAAAUGCUCAUAUAGAUUAUAGAGAAAACAAAGGAAUUUCAACUGGGUUGGUAGGUGCUUUUCUUAAACGACAUUAAGGUGAUUAUUUAUAGAAAUAACAUUGAGUCACAACGCUAUGAUGCAACAUUUAGGUGUUGGGAGUUUGGAGGCAUACUUCCAUGUUCUCUCCUUUGCUGCUUCCAAACUUCCCACUUACCUCAACAACUUCUUAAGGAAUUUAAGAAUAUCUUGCCCUCUUGUUGAGUAGGCUGGCUGUAACCUUGAUGUUUUUCUUUUAAUCUAGAUAAGUUCUUCGUAGUAAUUACAAGUCUUAUCCCUCUUUGGAUUCUACUAAAAAACUUUGUUUCUUUCCUUGCUUAUUGGAUACUUCAUAAUCAAGGUAAAGAACACCUUUAUUACAUUGUUUAAAUUUCUUAAACACUUAAAUUUACAUGUUCCUCAAGUGCCUACAGCAACUGUCUGAUUUUCAAGUGCCUAAGUUGAAGUGUCUGGUCUUAACUUUUCUUCUCUUACUCAGAUAACGUUUAAAUAUUGAUUUUCUGAUUUUCUGAUUUUCUGAGUCGUUCUUUGUAUUCGUAGAAGACUUGACUUAGACUACAUUUUGGGGGUAAGUAGUAUAUUUUGUUUUAUAUUCUUUUUGCAAUUGCCACAAUGUAUGAGUUUGACAUUAUUUUGCAAUUUGGUAGCCAUUUAGGUUAUCAAUAUGUUGAUGUGGCAUACAAAGAUUCGCUUGUAUCCGGAUGAUAAAUAAUCAAAGACAUUCCUCACAUAUAUAAUUGGGAACCUUAACCAUAUCAUUUAUUAGUGAAUGUUCAUAAACGACCUACCUUCAUGCACAUGUGUGCAAACAUUAAGUGGUUGAUGAUGAAUUCCCAAUUUUUGUUGGUGUUUUUUAAAGAUUAGGUGUUUUUAAGUUUGUCCUUCCACUUUAAUUAUCAUUAGUGACAAUAACUUUAUUUCUCAUUAGAUUUACAAUGAUGGAUAAAUCAUGGAUGCACAAGAGCAGAUUGUCUAAAGAUUAUGAGUUGGGUGUGGAAAACUUAAUCAAAUUUGAAUUUAUGGCGAACAGUAAAGGCAAGUAUAAACUUUUAAAGUCAUUAUAUUUUGUAGACUACUAGCAAUUAGGAUUACUUUGUUAUUCAAAUUUGUUGAUUUUAUAUAGUGUCCUCUACAAGUUGAGAGUACUGAGUGUGGAUACUAUAUCAUGAGGUAUAUGAGAGAAAUUGUGACUAGGGGAGGCAUUGUCAUAUCCGAUGCGGUAUGUUAUAUAUCAAACUAUUUGUUUUGUGAGUUAAUUGAUUUAUUUGUAUAGUCAGUUAAUUCAUUUAGUUUAUUUUGCAUGUUUAUAGAUGAUACACGAAGAUCAUACUCACAGGCAGAACUAGAUGAGGUGCGAGUUGAGUUAGCUGACUUUUUGGGUUCAUACAUAUGAUUGUGACCAAUAUUUUGUGAUUCUGAAGUAGGAAAUUUUUUGUUGUGGCGUUUCUUAUGAUCUGAAACUUUAUGUAUAGAAACUUUAGAUGAUAAUUCUUUUGAAUUGUUCAUAUGGAGGAAGGGGGGAGGGGGGGGUUCAUUGGUAUACUUUUGAUUAGAUUUGUUAUAGCUAGUAUGUUUUGUGACUUUCUAUGUUGAGUUGGAUUCAUGGCAAUGUAAUGGAAUAUGAAAUCUAAUGUAAAGUCUAUUUCAUUAUGUAUAUGUAAAGUCUUGGAAUUGAA
rnacentral:lncRNA from 1 species